rnacentral:lncRNA from 1 species
AUGUGUAUCAAAUCUAUUGGAUCUUGUGUACACUAUGCUGUCCAAAGCACAGACACAUGUUUUUAUUCCUAUUUCUAUGGUCCAAUAAUGACACAAGGUGAAACCAUGGCAAUGAACUCUGGAUUUAAGUAUUUACCAUUAUUUCCUACCAUAGGCAUUGACAGACAUGAUACAUUCUUCCUAUUUGGAGAUAUUGCUAUGGAAACUGGGAUUCGGAAUGUUUCUCCAUGCACGGCUCGAGAUUGCAAGUGGCUUAAAAAAGCAAGAAUGGGGUGGUGCCUGUGUAUAUCUCCUCUUUGUAUAGUGCUGGUCAUAUUUGGGUGGUCAGCAGGUGAUCUCCUUACAGCAGCGUGGCUGUGUCCCAUCAUGGUGCAGUCCAGCAUGAAGUCCUGCAUGCUCUGGGCUUCCACCAUGAGCAGAACUGCGGUGACCGGGACAAUAAUGUCACCGUUGUCACAGAGAACAUCAGCAAAGGUAAGGGGCCUCCACUUUCACUUUGUUUUAGAGGUUGCUAAUGUGUUUCUAUCGUCAGACUGGCAAUACUAAUGUCUUAUCACAGUGAAACAUGUAUCUCUAAAUCUCUUCUUUUAGGCAAGGAACACAUCUUCAGAAAGGUGGAAACCAAUCAUUUGAUGAUUCCGUAUGACUACACCUCUGUGAUGCACUAUGGAAGGUCAGCUUCUAGGACUAUCUGUAUUUAUUCAAGCAAAAAAUAAACCUUCAAUCUCCCACCUACAGGGAUGCUACAGUUGUACAUGUACUAUGCAAUGGUUUGUCUUCCAGGUAUGCAUUCGCUAAAGGUUAUGGUAAGCUGCCAACUAUCAUUCCAAAGCCAGACUCUAGUGUUCAGAUCGGAGGGGCCCGACAGAUGAGUCGCCAGGACAUCGUGAGGGUGAACAGGUUGUACUACUUGCAGAGAGUAUUGGGCUUUAUUAUACUAUAUCUUACAAUGGAAAAUACAUGUUUUCUUUCAAUCGUGUGUUUCAUAACAUGAGAAUAAAUGGGUUUUUUUUUGUGAACUUUGUCAACACUGCUGAUGAUGUUGUGCCUUUUUUAUGUUUCUUUUUUGUAUGUUCACCCCAAUAGGAGGACACUUGAAUAAAUGAAUUUAGAAGACUGCAUCAGAUAUUUCAACCAACAACUAUUUGAAAUAAAAUCAAAUGGCAGCUAAUCAAUUAGCUUUCUGGAUGAGGUCAAAUUCACUUGGCACAAUACUCAUCGCUUUAUGUUGUGUUGUGGAUGCUUCACCACCCAGUUGGUUGCAAUUAUUCUCUCACCCAAAUGUUUAAAAAAAAUUGUUGUCUUUUUGACACUGUUAUAGAUAUUAUUUUGGGUGAUUGUGAGACAUUCAGUACUCAAUGUUCUAUUGCGUUGGUUGUGUGGUUAAUGUUAAUGUGAUUUCAUAUCCUGUGUUUCCCCCAUUUAUUAGCAUUCAGAAUCUUGACGGUUACUGCACUGCCUUCAUAUUUGCUCAAUAAAAGCUCACUGUAUAUAUGCCAAGUGACAGUGUAUUUGUUACACUAGGUGGCAUCUGAAUCUCAUGUAUAGUACAUACAUUAAAGAAAUAAUGUUUCCAUUCAUGUAUAGAAUUCAUUAGCAUUUGGAUAGAUUUUGCAUCUUCCCCUACACCUCCAAUCAAACUAGUGACUUUUCUACUAAAAGAUGAGCACAUAUACCACACACAUACAUAUACCACACACAUAUACACAAAAAAUGGGUGUCAGACAUGAAUAAGCCAAACGUCCAACAACAAAAAAUCUAGAAUCCGUACAUCCAAGCAUCCAGAAAUAUACUGAAACAUGUCUGCCUCAUGUUCCAAGAGUAGAAACCGUUCCCAAGAGAACCAGCCACCUCCAGGUAAAUCACACAGUCGGGGGACCUGUCAGUGACUCACUGGUGCCAUCACCAACCUGAUAAUUGGCUUUGUCAAAGCUUUGUCUCACAUUCGGCGAUGGGUUAGGUGGAGGCAGCGAAUAAAAUGGGAAACGAGUCAAGUACUGUACCCACACAGGACUAUUUAGACCUAGAAGAACAGGGACAGUAAAAAGAAAACAUUGCAACAAAUACAAUUGGCCUUUUUCUUUUUUAUGUGCAGCUUCUACGAGUUGUAUGGGCUUGUCUACUAUCUAAUGUUCCUCCACCGUAGAUUUCUUUUUAGAGACGGGUAUGUGCUCGUUCAGUAGAUUGGACACAAAAUGUGGUGAUGUUGUAAAAUCAUGGCACAUUAAAUGUGGUUGCGUCACUGCUGUAAGCUAUGGCAGGAAGCUUUGGAGUGUACGCUGAGCUUAGCAAGCCUGGAGGAGUUGGGCAGCCCACAGUCCCCAUUUACUUUCAGCCUCAACACCUCCUGCUCGGCUCCGACUGUGAGCUGGAGAGGAGGGGUGUCUGCCACAGGGAUUGAAAAAGUGGUUCAAAGCACAGCAGAAUGCUCAUCCAUUGAACUGAUAAGAGAACUUUUUAUCUUCCUUCCCUUGCUCCAUCUCUCUCUCUCUCCUUCCCCCUCCUGCUGCUCUUGUUUUACUCGAGUUAAAUUACUCAACACACUAGCAAAUACAUCUUUAUAUGAGCUCUUCUCACUCCAUGCUCUGACAUUUUUUUUUCCUUCAUGCUUUGAAUUAAAUUUUGGGUGCAGUCAUGCUCAAACAUCAACAAAAACUCCCCUGCAGAGCUGGAGAUGACAUUUUAGAGGUGUGUGUUUGCUUCUUAACUCUUCCAAACAUUCUGUAGACUAAGUAGUGUCAGUGUUUACUAUUAAUAUACACACCAAUGGCUCCAAGGGUCUAAUGAACUGGCCUGUAUUUGUCCUCUAAUUAUUUACUCUGAGGAAAGCAGUUGAAUUUGAUAUUAUUUAUGAUGACGACAGGCUGCAGUUCCCAACAUUAUAAAGGAUGACCAUAUGGGGAUAGAGUAUUUUGAAACCUCUAGGUGUCAUGAUUCAUGUACUCAAUUCCCAUGUGAUCAGUGGCAGCUUACAUUUGCAUAUGCCAGUCAAUUAAUAUGCGAUUUAAAUCCAUUAUCUAACCAGGAUGAUUUAGGUUGUGUGAUGGUUACAGAUGGGCAAUGGAGGAGAAAGACAUAAAAUGACAAAUGAAAGGGAUUACGGUAAGUGGCACACACAUUCAACAUUCAGUACAAUUUUUUUUAGUAGGCACAAAUUAUUCAGUUAAUUUAUUACAUUUAGCUAUUCUUUCUGGGUAUUUGCCAUUUUAAAAUUCUGCUUACAGCCAUCAGGUUUUUAUAAAAGCUGCUGACCUAACUCCAUGUGCACAGGAGUAGCCUUCAAUCCUCCCUAUGUGCCACUGACCCGCAUGAGUGUCAAAACCCCACAUACACAUGAAUAAUUGAGAAGUUGUAUUUUUGGCCUUUGAAGAUAUUGGAUGUCGAAUGGGUACCGUAUGCUAGGCCAGCGCUAUAGACAGCUCUCCUAGUGACACAGCUUGCCAGCUUGUAGCCCUAAAAAAACAAAUGAGUCACUGGUUCCUUCAGCCAUUCCAAUGGGGAAAGAAUAAGGUUUUGGGAUAAAUGCUGGGGGAAGAAAGGUCUGCGGUUAACACAGGCAGAGGAGAUUUCUUAUACCUUUUUGUUCUAUGACAUAUCAGUGAGGUAGCAUGACUUUUAUGA